rnacentral:rRNA from 1 species
UAAGAGUUUGAUCCUGGCUCAGAUUUAACGCUAGCGGUAUGCAUUACACAUGCAAGUUAAACUGUUUUAUUUAGAAUAGUAGCGAACGGGUGAGUAAUAUAUUAUUUUGUACCUAUUUGUUAGAAAUAAAGUAUUGAAAAUAACCUUAAAUUCUUAUAAAGUUAUAUUAUUAAAUAUAAUGAAAAAUAUUUUGAAUAUUCAAUUUAUUGCAUAUAGAUCAAAUAAUAUCAGAUUAGCUUGUUGGUAAUUUAAUAGAUUACCAAGGCAUAUAUCUGUAGUUGUUCUUAGAGGAAGUACAACCACAUUGGGACUGAGACAAGGCCCAAACUUCUACGGAAGGCAGCAGUGGGGAAUUUUGGACAAUGAGCAAAAGCUUGAUCCAGCAAUACCGCGUGUAAGAAGAAGACAUAUGUUGUAAAUUACUUUUAUUUAGGAAUAAUAAUAACAUUUUGAAUGUACUAAAUGAAUAAGCACUGGCAAACUACGUGCCAGCAGCCGCGGUAAUACGUAGAGUGCAAGCGUUAAUCGGAAUUAUUGGGCGUAAAGCGUGUUUAGGUUGUUUUUUAUGAAGUAACUUAAAUACUAAAGCCUAACUUUAUUUUGGUUAUUUUACUAAAUUACUUGAGUAUAAAAGAGGAGAGUAGAAUUCUAUGUGUAGUGGUGAAAUACGUAAAUAUAUAGAGGAAUACCAAUGGCGAAGGCAACUCUCUGGUUUAUAACUGACACUGAUACACGAAAGCAUGGGUAGCGAACAGGAUUAGAUACCCUGGUAGUCCAUGCCCUAAACUAUGUCAACUAAUUAUCAGAUUUUUUUUGGUAGUGAAGCUAACGCGUUAAGUUGACCGCCUGGGGAUUACGAUCGCAAGAUUAAAACUUAAAGGAAUUGACGGGGACCUGCACAAGCGGUGGAUGAUGUGGAUUAAUUCGAUGCAACACGAAGAACCUUACCUACUCUUGACAUCUAUAGAAUUUAUUUGAAAGAAUAAAGUGCCAUUUGGAACUAUAAGACAGGUGCUGCAUGGCUGUCGUCAGUUCGUGUCGUGAGAUGUUUGGUUAAGUCCUAUAACGAACGUAACCCUUGUUUUUUGUUGCUAAUUUGCACUCAAAAAAUACUGCUAAUGAAAAGUUAGAGGAAGGAAAGGAUGACGUCAAGUCCUCAUGGCCCUUAUGAGUAGGGCUUCACACGUCAUACAAUGGUUUUUACAAAAAGUAGCGAUCUGUGAGGAUUUAGCUAAUCUUUAAAAGAAAUCUUAGUUCGGAUUGUACUCUGAAACUCGAGUAUAUGAAGUUGGAAUCGCUAGUAAUCGUAGAUCAGAAUGCUACGGUGAAUACGUUCUCAGGUCUUGUACACACCGCCCGUCACACCAUGGAAGUGGGUUUUAUUGGAAACAAUUUUUGAUUGUCAAUAUAAAGUUCAUAACUGGGGUGAAGUCGUAACAAGGUAGCCGUAUCGGAAGGUGUGGCUGGAUUA